CUUGGCAGGGAAAGAGUUUCUGGAGAGAUUAGAAGAAAGGGGAGGGGACAGCAAAGGGGGUGGGAGAGAGAGGUGGUGAUAUGUCACUGCUUGAUUUUUUAAUAUUAUUACUAAUUGCAUUCCCUCUCUUCUUCCAACCCCCGGAGGAGGGGCUAAAGUAUAAAAUCGGGGUUGCAAUCUCUCCCCAAGGGGCUGGGUUCAUGUCGGGGCAAAGCCUUCCGCGCCUCGCCGGGAGGAUGCCGCCUGGCGCCGGGAAGCAGCCGGAGAGAGGUUGAGACGAGAGCCCAGAGCCAAGAGCCCAGAGCCGGCGAGGGAGCCCUUCCGACGCCGCCAGCCACAGCAGGGAGAGAGGCAGGCAGGCAGGCAGGCUUCCCCGUCUCUCGCCACGCUUCCCCAGCUGGCCAUGGAUGGGCGGGAUGGCAAGGAAGCGAGGGAGGCUCUCCUCCGCCAGCCGCCGGUUUCUCGGUAACUGGAGAAAGAAGGGCGCCUCAUCUGCCUCCAAAUGAUUCAAUUCAGCAGCCAACUUUUCUCACUUCUUCCUUCCCCCUUUAGCAUCAGGUAGGGAAAUUAGGGAAACCUUCAUGACAAGAGGGAAGGACUUGUCCUCGGCUUCUCAGUCUGGUUUUAGAACUGGGGCUCUUGUGAAACUGCCGCGUCCAUGCUCACCAUCAUGUAACCUGUGAAUGGCAAAUUGUUGUCAUUUUCGGGUGGACUCACGUGGAUGUUGUCAAGGAGAGUGGUCUGCAAAGAGAAGAAGGGCACUGGUACUCACAUUUUUUUUUCACAUCUCCCAGCGUGAGUAGAGACUGAGUCACCCUUUCCCCAUUUUCUUUUUUUCUUUCUCUUUUUUUGCCACUAUGAUCAUUUGCAAUAUCAGUGCAAUUAAAGAUUGGAGCACGUUCCUCUCCCAGAUCCUCCCCAGUGUCAACAAGACCCUCCGUUUGGUGCAGCAGGUCGAAGCCACCACCAGCUCUGUGGUGAGCGUUCUUCCAAACCCUGAGCGAGACGGCUACUUGGACAACAGCCAGCCCAUGAAUUCCAGCAACUUCACCACGGGCCUGGACCACCUUUUCCAGUACUCCUAUUCGGACACUGACCAGCUGUACAAGGAGUACAAACCCCCUCCGCGAGAUGCCAUCCCCUUGCCCAAGGCGGUGCUCUACCUUCUUAUGGCAGCCCUGGUCGUGGUGGCAGUGGCUUAUGCCAUUGUUGGCCACCUCAUCAAGGACCUGUUCCAUGACUUGAUAGAGGACACCCUCCAUGGACAAGAAGAUAUGACAUGUAUGAGCCCCAAUCCAUGCAGGAUGCAUCCAUGGCAACACCUCAAAUGGCCUUGGAAGAAUGACAUUCUGCUCCCUUGGUGAUGUGAGCAACAUCUCACUACUGCUUUAGUCACUUUGAAGCCUCACUCUAGUGCACAGAUGACAUUGUCCAAAGGUAGACUGAGCACAGAUUCAAAGCAACUGGUAGCAUUUAUUGUACCUUCUGUUCAGUUUGAAAUUAUGGUACUAGAGCUGGGCAAAAUGAAAGAAGCUUCUGAAUGUCUACUUUACAAGUAUCCCUAGAUGUUUCUGAACAUUUACCUGAACAUAUAUUUUGGAAAAUAAUGUGGACUUCAUCCCACCUCCUCCC
ensembl:lncRNA